UUAGCUCAGUUGGAUAGAGCACCGGACUUCGGAUCCGGGAGCCGGAGGUUCGAAUCCUCCA
rnacentral:tRNA from 1 species